rnacentral:rRNA from 1 species
UACAGAGGGGGCGAGCGUUGUUCGGAAUUACUGGGCGUAAAGGGCGCGUAGGCGGCCUCUUAAGUCGAACGUGAAAUCCCCGGGCUCAACCCGGGAACUGCGUCCGAUACUGGGGGGCUUGAAUCCGGGAGAGGGAUGUGGAAUUCCAGGUGUAGCGGUGAAAUGCGUAGAUAUCUGGAGGAACACCGGUGGCGAAGGCGGCAUCCUGGACCAAUAUUGACGCUGAGGAGCGAAAGCCAGGGGAGCAAACGGG